AAUCAACGCUGGCGGCGUGCCUCAGACAUGCAAGUCGAACGCGAAAGUCCCCUUCGGGGGACAAGUAGAGUGGCGCACGGGUGAGUAACACGUAGGUAAUCUACCUUCGGAUGGGGAAUAACAAUCGGAAACGGUUGCUAAUACCGCAUAAUGCAGCGGCACCUAAUGGUUGACAGUUGUUAAAGCGGGGGAUCGAAAGACCUCGCGUCUGAAGAGGAGCCUGCGGCGGAUUAGCAGUUGGUAAGGUAAUGGCUUACCAAGGCGACGAUCCGUAACCGGCCUGAGAGGGCGGUCGGUCACACUGACACUGACAUACGGGUCAGACUCCUAACGGGAGGCAGCAGUCGGGAAUUUUGGGCAAUGGGCGAAAGCCUG
rnacentral:rRNA from 1 species